CCUACGGGUGGCUGCAGUGGGGAAUAUUGGGCAAUGGGCGCAAGCCUGACCCAGCAACGCCGCGUGAAGGAUGAAGGCUUUCGGGUUGUAAACUUCUUUUAAGAGGGAAGAGCAGAAGACGGUACCACUUGAAUAACCUACGGCUAACCACGUGCCAGCAGCCGCGGUAAUACGGAGGUGGCAAGCGUUGUCCGGAUUUAGUGGGUGUAAAGGGUGUGCAGCCGGGAAGGCAAGUCAGAUGUGAAAUCCCGCGGCUCAACCGCGGAACUGCAUUUGAGACUGUUUUUCUUGAGUACCGGAGAGGUUGUCGGAAUUCCUGGUGUAGCGGUGAAAUGCGUAGAUAUAAGGAAGAACACCAGUGGCGAAGGCGGAUGACUGGACGGCAACUGACGGUGAGGCGCGAAAGCGUGGGGAGCAAACAGGAUUAGAUACCCGAGUAGUC
rnacentral:rRNA from 1 species